rnacentral:rRNA from 1 species
UACGUAGGGGGCGAGCGUUAUUCGGAUUUACUGGGCGUAAAGCGCGUGUAGGCGGCUGGUUAAGCGUGAUGUGAAAUCUCCGGGCUCAACCCGGAAACUGCAUUGCGAACUGGCCUGGCUGGAGUCCGGAAGAGGUGGGUGGAAUUCCUAGUGUAGAGGUGAAAUUCGUAGAUAUUAGGAAGAACACCGGUGGCGAAGGCGGCCCACUGGUCCGGUACUGACGCUGAGGUGCGAAAGCGUGGGGAGCAAACAGG